AAUUUAUGCCCCAUAAAUAAUCAGAACCAGUUGCCUUGACAUGCCUUUCACACUUUAGUAGCCCACCCAAACUCUUUGAAACUUCAGCUAAGCCAACAAAAAUCAAUAAAAAUGGCGCAUUGCACAGAGGCCACCGAGGAGCACACAAUGACGUCACCAGAAACAGCAAAACCAUUCCAAAUAGGUCCAGGGACGCAAAAAAUACAUUUAAAGUACACCCGUAAAUAGGCUUUCUCGAUGCUGGGGGUUUUUGCUACCGUGAUCAAUCACUAUUGGUCAUAACCCAGCCGAGGAACUGGGCACUCACCUGCUCGAUGUCGAAGUCCCACUCGGGCGAUGGAGAACGCGCUGUUCGGCCGCCCGGCGGAGGCGUUCCCAAUGCGGGGGAGCCGGCUUGGGGCUCUUCGGGAAUCACGGCGAAGCGACCCCGCUGGAGGAUUGGCGAAAUGGCGCCAUAAUUAGCUGCAAUGAAGAAAGAAGGGGCAAAAAAGUACCAAAUCAACUUACACGUGGGCAUGAGACGGAAGCGGCCAAGCGUCGUUUCGGGCGGACCCUGUGGCGUGGAGGAGGUGACACGGAAGCGGCCUCGGCGGGCGGCGGCCACGUCCUCGUAGUUGCUGCCCCCCGACGCUCCGCCGGCACUGCUCUGCAUCCUGUGGCUGAUGCUUCCUCGUCGGCCUCGCCGAAAACU